CGUGCCCUGCCUUUAUCAAAUUAAUUAAUUAAUUGCGGCUGACUUUAACAAUAGAAUCGCCGUGUUGCAGUGUAAAUCGAGCCGGUAACCGGUGGCGGCAAUUUAGCCGACGUAAACAAAAUAGCGUUUGUAUGCGGGUUGGCGAAAAUUCUUGCGAAAUUUUAUUAAUAAUAAGCGUUCGUGAAUCCAAAAAUAAUCGACGGCUUCGUCCGACGUUUGUGAAAAAAUUAGAAUUUCGUAGUUGGAUUUCGCUUGAAAAAUGCAGACCAAAGACGUUUACGUCAGGGUGACGUGCCUUCUGAUAGGCGUGACGUUGUCGAUAUACGAAUCCAAUAUGACAUUUCCGAACAAAUUUCAAGAGUUUUGCGCGUCUGCAAUAUGCGUAUUUUGUUACGUUAAAACACUUCGGCUGUUUACGGGACUGCUGACAAAAACCGAAGACUGGACCAAACAAAUAUUCGAUGUCAUUUGCAUGGUAGUGCAGUUUAUAUCGCUGGUCAUUUUAAAUAUCUGUUUCGGUGUAGUGAUCCUCUUUCUUAUAUUGAAUCAUUUCUUACAACAAUUUAACGUCUGCCCGCCGAAAUACGUGGCAAUGGCGGCUUUUUAAUUUCGAAUAUUUUUGCACGAUGCCACUGACAAGGCCGCUACUUGUUAAAGUACAAAAAGCACACAAGACUGAUUAAUAAUUUACUUCGUACAUAACUUGCAUUAAAUUAUUCUAGAUAUAU